AGCUCAGUUUGCUUGCCGUAAACUGAGUUUGGGGGGCAAUAACCCCCAGAGGCAUGGGAGUAACUAAAACCCAGAAGUUCAUAUCUCCAGGGGAUUUUAUCUGACCUGGAGUGCCAUGGGUUGCCCUGAACUGUUCUUUCUCAAGACCUUUGCCUCCAGAUCUUGCUACAUUUUAAUUACCAGAGGACCUGAGUGCUCAUCAUGAUAUGGAGAGACCCUGAAUUCAUGAAUAACUCAGAGCUGAUAGCUGCCUGCGGUUUCUGCCCUCCAGCAAACUUACUGUUCCUCCCCCAAGCUACAAGGACUUCCAAUGGAGUGUGGUCUUCUGUGAUGAGUGGUAAGAGCAUAACAACUAAUUUUACCAUUUGUCGGGCUUCUUAACACAGAACAUCGGAUUACGAGCUCUGAGAUGGAAUCCCUUCCAGGAACGCAGACCGUCUGAGUUCAUCAAACAAAAGCUCUGGUUCCAACAGUAUGAACUUUGAACAGAUUUCACUGCUCAGACCGGAACAUAAACUCGAAACAAACAAGGCUCUAGGCCCAACUUCAAGCUUUCCAGGGACAGGACAUGAGUGCUCAGAAGUCUGGGCUGGGAAACUCGGGUGCUCUGGCUGGAAGGUUGUUGUGACAUCUCCCCAAAGAAGAAUGAGCUACCCUCUGGUCUCAACCUGCCAGCUCGAUUGGGAGUUUUUGGCAACAUGUACUGAAUCCUGGCAUGAACAGCAAGCCCAAAGGAACAACCGCUCAUUUGGUGCAGAUGGCAGAAUGGAAGAUCAGUGGGGAGACCAGCUCUGAUACGCCACUGGUUUUCCCCAGCAGAAUUUCUACAGCCGUCAAGACACACCACUUGGCUUUUGGUUGGUGAAAGUAAAGCUAGUUUCUGUGGGUCUGAGCCUUUUGUUUAGUAUGAAGAAGAGGGAUUGAUUUCCCUGCAUACUCUCCGAAAAUCUGAAAACUCCAGGACAGAGACAAAUGAAGCCUGAAAAGUCGUUUAGUCUUAGGGUCUAUUGCAGUCAUUAUUUUGGCUCUCUGUCUAAACUGGGAACUUCAGUGGAUUCACUGUCCUCCACAUAAACUAAGAAUAUUCAGAUUUCAUGAAUAAACUCAAUAAAUAUUUGAUGAAUG